CUCUCGUUAUCCUCUCCGACGAAAGAAGAGGGUUCUCUUCACUUCUGUCUCCGGUGAGCUCUCCUCUGGGACAGGCUCCUUCCGUUUCGUCAUCUCCACCUCAACUCGCCGUCGUCUGUCAUACAAAAAAACCCUAAAUCCGAUUUCACUUUUGUCAAAAUCCACCUUUCAAUCUAAGAAAAUUGAACCUGGAUGUUUCAGACAGAACAUAAUUGGCGUUACUAUCUAUGCUUCCUUAGGAGAGGAUGCUUUGAUUUACUCACUCAAUGUGGUUGGUGUGUAAGUUUGUUUUUGUUACGUGAAUUACAGGGAUGUUUCAGACAAACCAAUGCCUCGAGGGGAGAUUGUGGUAGGUGAUAACAGUGUAACAGCAGGUUACUUCAACAAUCAAGCAAAAACCGAUGAGGUUUACAAGCAUCAUACGGAGCAUUAGAGAAAUGGGGCAGAUCAAGCAGGAGUUAAAUACAGCUACUUCUCUGAGCUAUGCGAGAACGGUGAUGCAGUAAACGAGGUUCAACAAUCUCUUACCAAGGCGGCAAAGCUAGAAAAGUUUGAAAUUCCAACAAAGAUAAAGUUAUUGCCAGAGCCGUGGACAUCAGAGUCGGGACUAGCACAGCUGCUCUCAAGAUAAAGAGGGAGAAAAUAAAGGCCAAGUUCAAAGAUGAACUCCACAAGCUGUAAAAAGUCUUUUAUAUUACUUAUGAGUUGUGACAAACUUCGUAUACUUAGGGUUUUGACUUUACUUUUACUAAUAAAGUUUGAUCAUGAUGGGGUUGUUUUCUCCCUUUUUAAUACAAUAAUUUUCAUUCCAACUUGAUAUAACGGAGCAAUUU